rnacentral:rRNA from 1 species
CGCAACCCCUACUGCUAGUUGCCAGCGGGUCAUGCCGGGGACUCUAGCGGAACUGCCAGCGUAAGCUGCAGGAAGUGGGGAUGACGUCAAAUCAGCACGGCCCUUACGUCCAGGGCUACACACGUGUUACAAUGGCCAGUACAGAGGGCAGCCACCCCGCGGGGGGGCGCUAAUCCUAAAAGCUGGUCCCAGUUCGGAUCGGAGUCUGCAACCCGACUCCGUGAAGCUGGAUUCGCUAGUAAUCGCGCAUCAGCCACGGCGCGGUGAAUACGUUCCCGGGCCUU